rnacentral:rRNA from 1 species
AAAAUAAUAAAUUAAAGAUUUUGAGUAGUAAUAGGGUUCUUAAAACUAAAAGAGUUUGGCGGUACUUUAGUCUUUUUAGAGGAACCUGUGAGUUAAUCGAUAAUCCUCGAGUAUCUUACCUAAAUUAAUAUUUGUAUAUCGUUGUCAUCAGAGUAAUUUUAAGAAUUUUCUCAGGAGAUAUAAUUAGGAUGUCAAAUCAAGGUGCAGUUUAUAUUAAGGGGUUUCAUGGGUUACAAUAUUGGAGAGUAUACGGAUAUUAUUUUGAAAGAGAUUUUAUAAGGUGGAUUUAAUUGUAAUUUUUUAUUAGAGUGGAUAGGUGAAUAAGUACUGAAGUAUGC